rnacentral:rRNA from 1 species
AGUGAACGCUGGCGGCGUGCUUAACACAUGCAAGUCGGACGAGAACGGAAUAUAGCUUGCUAUAUUUGUCAGCUAAGUGGCGCACGGGUGAGUAAUGUAUAGAUAACCUGCCCUUAAGAAAGGAAUAACAGUUGGAAACGACUGCUGAUGCCCUAUAUGCCUUUAAUACAUAAGUAUGCAAGGGAAACGCUUUAGUGCUUAAGGAUGGGUCUGUAUGGUAUCAGCUUGUUGGUGAGGUAAUGGCUCACCAAGGCUAUGACGCCUAACUGGUUUGAGAGGAUGAUCAGUCACACUGGAACUGAGACACGGUCCAGACUCCUACGGGAGGCAGCAGUGGGGAAUAUUGCACAAUGGACGAAAGUCUGAUGCAGCAACGCCGCGUGGAGGAUGACACAUUUCGGUGCGUAAACUCCUUUUAUAUAGGAAGAUAAUGACGGUACUAUAUGAAUAAGCACCGGCUAACUCCGUGCCAGCAGCCGCCGUAA